AAAAAAUUGAUUUCCUUCGAGCAUUUGUUAAUGUUGUAUCUUGUUGUUAGCGCAACUAUAUUGACAUGAUAGUUACCAAUUACAACAAGUACUUUUCAACAAUAUUUUGCCAAUCUUUCACAUUAGGAACUUGUGACCUUUUGUCUUAUCUGCAUUCAGUAGAACACAACUAGAUUUCCGACUCUCACCACCAUAUGCUGUUUGUAGAAUUUAAAUUUGCUGUGCUCGAGAAUAUAUAUUGGUCAUUAAGCUCAAAAUGGGGCUUGGUUUGAUGACAAUACCCAAGAAUUAUACUGAGGUAAAUAGGUAGAAAAGUGCUUAUAAAGCACCAUUUGAUAGCUUAUUAUUGGAGUUAUGAGGUUGUUGCUUUAACAUAUACUGCUAGAGACUGCUGUAGUGUAAACAGUUUUCACGAAAACUGAUGGAUGAUAAAUAAGG
rnacentral:misc_RNA from 1 species